rnacentral:rRNA from 1 species
UACGGAGGAUGCAAGCGUUAUCCGGAAUGAUUGGGCGUAAAGCGUCCGCAGGCGGCAAUGUAAGUCUGCUGUUAAAGAGUCUAGCUCAACUAGAUACAAGCAGUGGAAACUACAUAGCUAGAGUACGUUCGGGGCAGAGGGAAUUCCUGGUGUAGCGGUGAAAUGCGUAGAGAUCAGGAAGAACACCGGUGGCGAAGGCGCUCUGCUAGGCCGUAACUGACACUGAGGGACGAAAGCUAGGGGAGCGAAUGGG